CUUCAAGAAUCCGUCUUGGAUGAGGAAGAAUUGCGCUGAAUCUUGUAACAGUUGUGAAGAAUUGGAUGGAUCAGACAACCACAGGGAUGAUGACGUAAAUUCAAGAGAUAAUGAAGUAGAUAGUAGAAAUGACGUUGAAGUGGAAAUUCACGUGAAUGAUGGUCAGGCUACCACAAGAGCUCCCAGACAGGAGUUCGAAGAUGAUGAAGACGGUUCGGGAUUUAUUUGUUAUUUCGUCCAAUUCAUUUUUUCUUAUAUACUUCUUAUCCCCUUUUCAAAAUAUUGAUGUUGGCAAACUCCGACCCACUUUUACAAAUGCAUGAACUUGAUAACUUUGAUGGUAAAAAAUAGGCUUAUUAGGGUCGCUGUCAUAUCCGUCUGUCUUCUAUGUCGGAAAUGUGCAUAAAGAUUUUUAUUACUUUUCCUCUAUACAUUUUGGCACAUACUUUUAAAAAAUCUUAAAUCUAUACCUGUCUGGUUUGCAGACUCAGAUACAAGUUGUAGAAAUGACCAUAAUGACAAAGAUUGUAAGAUAUGGGCUAAUUACGGCCACUGUCAGAUCAAUCCGUCAUACAUGUCCAAAAUGUGCAAAAAGGCCUGCAACCAAUGCGAGUAUGGAACUCGCGAGGACACGAACGAGGAUCCGCGAGACCCCAUUGUAGACAUUGACAAAGAGCAAAGGGAUGGGUCUGUUGACGCCAAAACAACGACAACAACCACGGAGAACUUACCCAGACAAGCUUGUCAGGAUAACCAUAGCAGUUGCCCUUCUUGGGCCAAAUCUGGAGUCUGCAAUACCAACCCAACAUACGCACUGAAGGAAUGUAAAUUCUCCUGCAAAAACUGCAAACAAGUUUGCACGGACCAGCACACCCUCUGCCAACUCUGGUCAAAGAGCAACCACUGUAACACGAAUUCGGCCUACAUGAUGCGCUUUUGUCAGAAAUCAUGCCAAGUCUGCUAACCUAUUGUUGCAAUUCUGUGAAAGAUGGGAUAUACUGUAAAAAUUCCUCGUAAGAAACUCGGGUACCGGUUAUAAGGGUGUCUUUUAUUUUCCCCAUUUUUCUUCUUCUGAAUUUAGUCUGCCAUCCCUAUGUUUGAGCAUUUCAAUUCUUUGUAUGGAUAGGUAUUUUGUACAUCCAAAAAAAUCUUGCAAAGAAACUGAUACAAGGAAUUUUAUAUAUUUUUCUAAUAAUCAUUGAGUACCUUUUAAGUGUAUAUACAAUUUUUUGUCUUAUCAUGAACUAAGGAAACAUGUUUAAUUGACUUUCUUACUGACAAUUUAUACCGUACAUUUACAUGUAUAUAUAAUUGAUUUUCAAAUCUGUAUAAAAAUGUACAAAAAUAUACAUAUAACAAAUAAACCUGCUUGUACUGAC
rnacentral:misc_RNA from 1 species